GACGAACGCUGGCGGCGUGCUUAACACAUGCAAGUCGAACGGUAAGGCCCUUCGGGGUACUCGAGUGGCGAACGGGUGAGUAACACGUGGGUGAUCUGCCCUGCACUUCGGGAUAAGCCUGGGAAACUGGGUCUAAUACCGGAUAGGACCACUGCCUGCAUGGGUGGUGGUGGAAAGCUUUUGCGGUGUGGGAUGGGCCCGCGGCCUAUGAGCUUGGCGGUGGGGUGAUGGCCGACCAAGGCGACGACGGGUAGCCGGCCUGAGAGGGUGACCGGCCACACUGGGACUGAGAUACGGCCCAGACUCCUACGGGAGGCAGCAGUGGGGAAUAUUGCACAAUGGGCGCAAGCCUGAUGCAGUGACGCCGCGUGAGGGAUGACGGCCUUCGGGUUGUAAACCUCUUUCAGCACCGACGAAGCGCAAGUGACGGUAGGUGCAGAAGAAGGACCGGCCAACUACGUGCCAGCCGCCGCGGUAA
rnacentral:rRNA from 1 species